rnacentral:lncRNA from 1 species
GCAGUAGGGGACAGUGUGUGUACAGUGUGUGCAGAAGGGGACAGUGUGUCUGUCCAGUUUUCUAAGGUCAGUGUGUAUUCUAAGGUGCUCCUCUCACCGUGAUGACCUCAGAGUUGAGGUUUUUGGGGUCUCUGUUGACCAGGUCAAUCUCUCUCCUUAUGGUCUCCUUCUCCUUCUCCUUCUUCUCAGCUUCGGGGGCCUGUGACGCAGAGCUAUCUCUCGGCGGACACGAACAAAACAUCAAUGGCAUUUCCCUGCGCCCGGGUCCACAACGCGGCGAGACGUCUGUCCCCCCCUGCGGACGUGGUCAUUCCCGACUCCCCGCACGUUGGGAACGGGGGCUGGGCUGUCUCUCACCUGCUCGUUGCUCGGGACGAGCCCGGCGGCGUGUCCUGCAGCGGUCAGCGCUGGGCAGUGACUUCUCCCUGUCUCUCCGCGGCGUGCCGACAGCAGGCGGCCAGGCUGGCACGGCAGGUGAGUCUGACACCCUCGCUGUCAGCGCGGGGGCACAGGGUCACACCCAGCUGGCAUUAACCCUUCACUGGCCCUCCCGUGCCCUGUCUCCCUUUCGGGCGCCGGGUCUUGAAUAGAGAAGGAGGGGCAGUGGGAGUGGGAGGGAAGGAGAGCUAAUUUUAGCACCAAGGUUCUGAUGCUAAGGAUACCUCUGAUAUCUGACACUGGGGUUUUUUUUUUUUGGGGGGGGGGAGGAUUCCUGUGCUGUACCUCAAUGUCACUGUGCUCCAUCAACACUGUACCCACUAUCACAGUCCUUCGUCUCUGUACCCACUAUUGCUGUGCUGAACCCCAUCAUUUCUGUACCUCUAUUGCUGUGCUGAACCCCAUUGUCUCUGUACCCACUAUCACUGUGCUGAACCCCAUUAUCUCUGUACCCUCUAUUGCUGUGCUGAAUCCCAUCAUCACUGUACACUCAAUUGUUUUGCGGUACUCCGUCAUCAU